UACGUAUGGCGCGAGCGUUGUCCGGAAUUAUUGGGCGUAAAGAGCUCGUAGGCGGCUUGUCACGUCAGGUGUGAAAGACCGGGGCUUAACUCCGGUUCUGCAUUCGAUACGGGCUAGCUAGAGUGUGGUAGGGGAGAUCGGAAUUCCUGGUGUAGCGGUGAAAUGCGCAGAUAUCAGGAGGAACACCGGUGGCGAAGGCGGAUCUCUGGGCCAUUACUGACGCUGAGGAGCGAAAGCGUGGGGAGCGAACAGG
rnacentral:rRNA from 1 species